rnacentral:rRNA from 1 species
UACAGAGGCCCCAAGCGUUAGGCGGAAUCACUGGGCUUAAAGCGUGUGUAGGCGGACGCCUAAGUGUCUUGUGAAAUCCCACGGCUCACCUGUGGAACUGCUGGGCAUACUGGGCGUCUUGGGCCAACUAGGGGCAGCCGGAACAAGCGGUGGAGCGGUGAAAUGCGUAGAUAUCGCGUGGAACGCCGAAGGUGAAAACAGGCUGCUGGGGUUGUGCCGACGCUGAGACACGAAAGCCAGGGGAGCAAACGGG